UUUCUCGUAGUUUAUAUAAUAAAAUAUUACAUUGAAAAUGUAAAGAAAAAUUUUUUUUUUGAGGAAA
rnacentral:tRNA from 1 species